AACGAACGCUGGCGGCAGGCUUAACACAUGCAAGUCGAACGCCCCGCAAGGGGAGUGGCAGACGGGUGAGUAACGCGUGGGAACGUGCCCUUCGCUUCGGAAUAGCCCCGGGAAACUGGGAGUAAUACCGAAUACGCCGUAUUGGGAAAGAUUUAUCGGCGAAGGAUCGGCCCGCGUUAGAUUAGCUAGUUGGCGGUGUAAUGGACCACCAAGGCUACGAUCUAUAGCUGGUCUGAGAGGAUGAUCAGCCACACUGGGACUGAGACACGGCCCAGACUCCGACGGGAGGCAGCAGUGGGGAAUCUUGGACAAUGGGCGCAAGCCUGAUCCAGCCAUGCCGCGUGAGUGAAGAAGGCCUUAGGGUUGUAAAACUCUUUCGCCGGAGAAGAUAAUGACGGUAUCCGGAGAAGAAGCCCCGGCUAACUUCGUGCCAGCCGCCGCCGUAAUAC
rnacentral:rRNA from 1 species